rnacentral:lncRNA from 1 species
AAAGCCAUCAGACAUAUAGGGCAUGUUUGGAUGGGCUUAAAAGCUGGUUUUUUUAAACUUUUAGUAGUGUCUGUCAAACAAAAAAAUAGCUUAAAAAAAGUAAAAAUCUACUUUAAAAAAAGUCAAAAUCAACAAAUUGAGUAAACCCAACUUUUUCGAAUUUGACUUAAAAGUCACCUUACUUUGACCAAAUAUAUUACAUUCUUAUCCCUUAUAACUUUUCUUAAUUCCGAAAUUACCCCUCAAUAAAAAAAACCUAAAACACACGAUAUCUUUCUUUUCUCCCUUUUUGUUGGAGAGACUGCGUUCUUCUUCCUCUUCUUGUUGUAGACUCUCCCCAACUUCAGCUCCAAUUUGAAAGCCUCUUCGGUCCAGUAAGUUUAAUCUUCCUGUUGAAUUUCAAUUCCUGGUGUGUUUUCAAAGUUUUGGAUGACUAAUUAUUUGGCUUUUUCUUGGAUUAAUUUCAACUUUGUCACCCAAAAAAUUUUCAAUCAAUGAAAUUUUGGGUACAAUGAAUAUAGUUUUCGGUCACCCAAAAACUUUUGUUGAUAAAAAAUAGUAUUAUAUUGGUUGUUUUCUUUUCUUUCUCAUAUAAAUGUAGUAUAAAAAUCGACUCUGCGUCGUAUUAGCCGUCUUAUUGCUAGUAAAGUGCUGAGUAUCUCAAAACAACACAAUUUUUUCAAAAGUUGUUUCUUGACUUUUAUUUGCUUUUUUAUUUUCAUGAGUUGCAUAUGUGUGGUCAUUGAUUGUACUGUUUCGGCCUUGUGUUUCUGUAAAGUAGCAACCAGAUUUUGUGGAAUCAUAUAAUUAAAAAGGAGACAAAGAUGAAGAGAUACAACUGUUAUAUAGCCACGUUAUAUCUAUUUAGUCGAUGUUAGGUAUAUAUAUAUAUAAGCUAAAUAUUAUCGGAAGAAAAUAAAGAAUUAGCUUACAAGCUAAGCAUUUAGUGAGCAAAAGAAAUAUGUUCAGCCAUUAGAAAAGGUAUUUAAAACAAAUCAGGGAAACCAACCAGCAUGCUCUGACUCUUUUGUAGCAUUGGAGAUGCACCUACCUGUAG